rnacentral:lncRNA from 1 species
ACGAAAUCCUCCAAGCUGGCCUAAUACCCACUUGCAUAUUCCACAGAAAGAGUGUUUCGAAACUGCUCUCUCAAAAGAAAGGUUCAACUCUGUUUGCUGAGUAGAUACAUCAUGAAAAAAGUUCUGACAUUGCUUCUAUCUAGUUUUUAUUGGAAGAUAUCUCCUUUUUCACCGUAGACCUGAAAGCGCUCCAAAUGUCCACUUCCAGAUAGUACAAAAAGAGUGUUUCAAACCUGCUCUAUGAAAGGGAAUGUUCAACACUGGGACUUCAAUUGAAACAUCCCAAAGCAGUUUCUGAGAAUGCUUCUGUCUAGAGUUUACAUGAAGACAUUCCCGUUUCCAACGAAAUCCUCAAAGCUAUCCAAAUAUCCUCUUGCAGAUUUUACAAAAAGUGUGUUUCAGAACUGCUCUAUCAAAACAAAGGUUCAACACUGUCAGUUGAGGGCACACAUCACAAAUAAGUUUCUGGGAAUGCUUCUGUCUAGUUUUCAUGGGAAGAUAUUUCCUUUUUCACCAUAGGCCUGAAAGCGAUCCAAAUGUCCACAUCCAGAUACUACAAAAAGAGUGUUUCAAACCUCUUCUAUGAAAGGGAAUGUUCAACUCUGUGACUUGAAUGCAAACAUCACAAAGAACUUCAUGAGAAUUC